UGUGAGAGUCUCUCUUGAAAACAUGGCGGCCAAACUUGGAUAUGAAGAUGUAUCCGACAUUUCUCCAACUGCAAUUGCCAUCGAGGCGCUUAUACAAAUCGAGCAUUUCUUGACGGAAUAAGCAAGA